UAAUGGUUAAUACCCAUUAGAUUAGACGUUACCUGCAGAAUAAGCACCGGCUAACUCUGUGCCAGCAGCCGCGGUAAUACAGAGGGUGCGAGCGUUAAUCGGAAUUACUGGGCGUAAAGCGAGUGUAGGUGGCUCAUUAAGUCACAUGUGAAAUCCCCGGGCUUAACCUGGGAACUGCAUGUGAUACUGGUGGUGUUAGAAUAUGUGAGAGGGAAGUAGAAUUCCAGGUGUAGCGGUGAAAUGCGUAGAGAUCUGGAGGAAUACCGAUGGCGAAGGCAGCUUCCUGGCAUAAUAUUGACACUGAGAUUCGAAAGCGUGGGUAGCAAACAGGAUUAGAUACCCUGGUAGUCCACGCCGUAAACGAUGUCUACUAGCCGUUGGGGUCCUUGAGACUUUAGUGGCGCAGUUAACGCGAUAAGUAGACCGCCUGGGGAGUACGGCCGCAAGGUUAAAACUCAAAUGAAUUGACGGGGGCCCGCACAAG
rnacentral:rRNA from 1 species